UACGUAGGGUGCAAGCGUUAAUCGGAAUUACUGGGCGUAAAGCGUGCGCAGGCGGUUUUGUAAGUCUGUCGUGAAAUCCCCGGGCUCAACCUGGGAAUUGCGAUGGAGACUGCAAGGCUAGAAUCUGGCAGAGGGGGGUAGAAUUCCACGUGUAGCAGUGAAAUGCGUAGAGAUGUGGAGGAACACCAGUGGCGAAGGCGGCUCACUGGCCCGAUACUGACGCUGAGGCACGAAAGCGUGGGGAGCAAACAGG
rnacentral:rRNA from 1 species